UGCUGAUGGAAAGGGCUGUGUAG
rnacentral:misc_RNA from 1 species